ensembl:miRNA
UUAGAUCGGUGCAAAAGUAACUAUGGUUUUUGCCCAAAAACCAUAGUUACUUUUGCACCAAGCUAA